UCUCAUGAGUGAGCAAACAAAGUGGUUUCUUGAGAUGGAAACUACUCCUGCUGAAGACACUAUGAA
rnacentral:pre_miRNA from 1 species